UCUGCUUACCAGUAAAAGAAUGGUUGGGUGCUUUCACUUGCAAACCAGACGUCAUAAUACAAAUGUAAGUUGUGCCCAUACCUAUGUCUUGGAUCAAUCUGCAAAUGUCAACAUUGGAUCAGUCUAUGUUUCUAAAAGAUUUGUUCAGCAGAAGAUUGUGAAACUGAGACAUGGAUUCUUACAGCUUCUAGCCAAUGUCUCAAUGCUAGUUGCUGAGCUUUCUCAUCUUUGGAGAGACCCUUACCAACCUGAAAAGGAUGAAUUCAUGAUAGAUUAGAUUAACAUGGUGAUUAAAAUCCAAUGUUUGGGCUCUAAAGUGACAUUAAGAAACAAAUCUGCAUACUCUGGCUAGUCUUUUCUUUGCCCUUGCCCACUUAGAAACUGCAGGCUCCGGCUUCUCAACGUUGAAAAAUGACACAGAGCUGCUUCUGAGAGAUGCAAAAUCAAGUGCUCUCCACCUACAAUUUGAGGAGUUCAUGACUCUGAGUCAGCAGCCAACUUAAGAAAAGAAUUGAGAUUACUAACCAGAAUUCUUCCACAAGUACUGCACAAUCUGCAAGAUUCCUCCUUGUUCUGUAACUCUUGUAGACCUUUUGCAGCGUGGUUGCUGCUGCAUCGAGUUCGCAUAAUGGCCUCGGGGAUGAGAACUCGAGCAGCUGCCGCUGGGGGAGCUCGACAAUCGGCGCUGGAAAAUUUGCUUGAAUCUUGAGUUCUUCUACGGCCUGCUUAUCAGUAGCUGCUCCUUCGAUCUUUGUCACCUGGGGCUCCCAGUGCUUGAAGCUCAGUGAUCUCUCCAUCCCUGGUGCUUCGCUGGAUACCAUCUUAUUCGACGAAUCACUUCUUUUGAAACUGAUCGAUUUUCUCAAGAUCUUGUUGGAUUCUCUGUCACCGAAACUCAUAGAUCUCGCUACUGCAACCUUUGUCUCGGCCAAGCAGAAGACUUUAUUACUCAUGACAAUUGCAGAACCUAGAAUUCACAGGAUAUUGGAGAGGAGGGAACAGAGGAUUCUCUAUAAAAUGUGAAGAACAGGACAAGAACAAGAUCAGAGAUUUGAGAACUCUACCUGACUACUAUUUGAUCCGAUCGACGAGAAGAUUUAGGAGGUGAGUGUUUAGAGAUCUCUUGCCAAUAGCAGAUGAUAUAUAUGAAGGGGUAUGACCAUACGAUCCACCUUCAUGGAAGUUACUUGGUCGACCGUCAACGGCUUGAACUGCAGAGUUCCAAUCCACGGCUUUGAAGUCUUCAAAAGACAAACCGAAAGUUUGAAGAAGUAUGUAAGCCAACAUCACUAAAGCUCAAGCAACCAGCGACCACAGGUUUGAAUUCCAAUAGAUUAAUUUUGACAUAAGUUAUUUAGUAAAAUCAUUUGAUUUAUUGAAAAUUUGGAGUUUUAUAAUCUUCAGUUAGUCUUUAUGUUUUGUGUAAUUAGUUCAAUUUUGAUACAAAGUAUACUUUUGGGUGGUUAGGCUGCUAGUCAGUCAUGAAUAGGAUGGUCAAACUUGGUAUU